rnacentral:rRNA from 1 species
UACGAAGGGGGCAAGCGUUGUUCGGAAUUACUGGGCGUAAAGGGCGCGCAGGCGGCCGAUCAAGUCAGAUGUGAAAUUCCCGGGCUUAACCUGGGGGCUGCAUUUGAUACGUGUGAUCUAGAGUGAGGAAGAGGGUCGUGGAAUUCCCAGUGUAGAGGUGAAAUUCGUAGAUAUUGGGAAGAACACCGGUGGCGAAGGCGGCGACCUGGACCAUAACUGACGCUGAUGCGCGAAAGCUAGGGGAGCAAACAGG